GGGGAAUAUUGGGCAAUGGUGGGAACUCUGACCCAGCAACGCCGCGUGAGUGAAGAAGGUCUUCGGAUUGUAAAGCUCUGUGGGCAGGGAAGAAGAUAGUGACAGUACCUGCACAGCAAGCCACGGCCAACUACGUGCCAGCAGCCGCGGUAAUACGUAGGUGGCGAGCGUUGUCCGGAAUGACUGGGCGUAAAGGGUGCGUAGGCGGCUUGUCAAGUUAGAAGUGAAAUACCCGGGCUCAACCCGGGUGCUACUUCUAAGACUGAUGAGCUUGAGUGUGGGAGAGGUAAGCGGAAUUCCUAGUGUAGCGGUGGAAUGCGUAGAUAUUAGGAGGAACACCGGCGGCGAAGGCGGCUUACUGGACCAUAACUGACGCUGAGGCACGAAAGCGUGGGGAGCAAAC
rnacentral:rRNA from 1 species